rnacentral:rRNA from 1 species
CACGCUGUAAACGAUGGAUGCUAGCAGUAGGUCGAAUCGACCCGAUCUGUUGCGAAGCUAACGCGUUAAGCAUCCCGCCUGGGGAGUACGAGCGCAAGCUUAAAACCUAAAGGAAUUGACGGGGACCCGCACAAGCGGUGGAGCGUGUUGUUUAAUUCGACGGUAAACGAAGAACCUUACCAAGGCUUGACAUCCCGAGAAUUUUUGGGAAACCAAGAAGUGCUUUAUUGAACUCGGUGACAGGUGU